AUUAAGAUUUGGGGCUAGGGUAAGGUUUAAGGUUUUGGCGUCAGGGUUUAAAUCACUGUCCAAAACCUUUGUAGGAACUAUUUUCCAAGCUUUUGGAGUUAGUUAGACCAAAAAGAAAUGAAAAAUGAAAAAAAAUAUAUUUGUGGUGUUCGGGCUUCCUGAAGAUAAUACACGGGUAUUAGGUUUUGGGGCUAGGGAAAGGUUUAAGGUUUUUGGCGUUAGGGUUAAAAUCACUGUCCAAAACCUUUGUAGGAACUCUUUUCCAACCAUUUGGAGUUAGUUAGACCAAAUAAAAAUGAAAAAUGAAAAAAAAAUAUUUGGGGUGUUCGGGCUUCCUGAAGGUAAUACCCGGGUAUUAAGAUUUGGGGCUGGGGUAAGGUCUAAGGUUUUGGUGUUAGGGUUUAAAUCACUGUCCAAAACGUUUGUAGGAACUCUUCUAACCUUUUGGAGUUAGUAAGACCAAAAAAAAUGAAAAAUGAAAAAAAAAUAUUUGUGGUGUUCGGGCUUCCUGAAGAUAAUACACGGGUAUUAGGUUUUGUGGCUAGGGAAAGGUUUAAGGUUUUUGGCGUUAGGGUUAAAAUCACUGUCCAAAACCUUUGUAGGAACUCUUUUCCAACCUUUUGGAGUUAGUUAGACCAAAAAAAAUGAAAAAUGAAAAAGAAGAAUUUGGGGUUUUCGGGCUUCCUGAAGGUAAUACUACUAGGUUUUGGGGCUAGGGUAAGGUUUAAGGUUUUUGGCAUUAGGGUUAAAAACACUGUCCAAAACCUUUGUAGGAACUCUUUUCCAACCUUUUGAAGUUAGUUAGACCAAAAACAAAUGAAAAAUAAAAAAAUAUAUAUUUAGGGGGUUCGGGCUUCCUGAAGGUAAUACCCGGGAAUUAGGUUUUGGGGCUAUGGUAAGGUUUAGGUUUUUUUGGCGUUAGGGUUAAAAUCACUGUCCAAAACCUUUGUAGGAACUCUUUUCCAACCCUUUGGGAGUUAGUUAGACCAAAUGAAAAAUGAAAAAAUAUAUAUAUAUAUUUGGGGUGUUCUGGCUUCCUGAAGGUAAUACCCAGGUAUUAGGUUUAGGGGCUAAGGGAAGGUUUAAGGUUUUUGGCGUUAGGGUUAAAAUCACUGUCCAAAACCUUUGUAGUAACUCUUUUCCAACAUUUUGGAGUUAGUUAGACCGAAAAAAACAAAAAAUGAAAAAAAAAAUAUUUGGGGUUUUCGGGCUUCCUGAAGGUAAUACUUGCAUAAUAUUAGGUUUUGGGGCUAGGGGAAGUUUUAAGGUUUUUUGGCGUUGCGGUUAAAAUGACUGUCCAAAACCUUUGUAGUAACUCUUUUCCAACCUUUUGGAGAUAGUUAGACCAAAAAAAAUUUAAAAAAAUAUAUUUAUAUUUGGGGUGUUAGGGCUUCCUGAAGGUAAUACCCGGGUAUUAAGAAUUGGGGCUAGGGUAAGGUUUAAGGUUUUGGCGUUAGGGUUAAAAUCACUGUCCAAAACCUUUGUAGGAACUGUUUUCCAACCUUUUGGAGUUAGUUAGACCAAAUAAAAAUGAAAAAUGAAAAAAAAAUAUUUGGGGUGUUUGGGCUUCCUGAAGGUAAUACCCGGGUAUUAAGAGUUGGGGCUAGGGUAAGGUUUA
rnacentral:lncRNA from 1 species